rnacentral:lncRNA from 1 species
UCUAAGAUUCGCUGAUCAAGCACCUGCUGCCAUCGUUGCUGCCUAUAACUCCAUUGAUCUACGCUUAGUACGUUGAGGUCACACACACACACACAUACAUAUAUAUGAAUAAAUGCUAUCAUAUUAUCUCACUGCGUGAGAGAGAGAGGAGUACGUACGUCCAGCCAGCGCAUGGCCGGUCACACUGUUGUAUCGAUGUUUGGUUGUUCCUCCACUCCCUGAGUUUGGUGUACUUUGUACCAUGUGUACUUUUGAUAUAUGGAUUGUAUACUCAGCUGAUCAGCUCUUUUUUUUUUCAACCGGGUGUGCCCCUUUCCAUUAAAAUAAACGGAAAUACAACAGUCUCCGAUACAGCCAGGAAGCAAGGAAAGAGGAGCAGCGAGUUCAACGCACUGCCAGAAAACCCACUGUGCUCGCCCGCCAUCGAAACGAGCACGAUGGGGCGAAAACCUGACAGCACCUACUUAGUUUGAGUCUAGCUAUUACAAACCAGGGGAAAAGGCACAAACACGAGGUGCCAGAAGAACAUAAAGCAUGUAGACUUUCAAAAGUUACCCAAACGUGGAGCCUGAGACUUAGACCCUAGCACAACGCCCCCUAUCACAACCAGGGCAGAAUGUAGAGCACAUCAGCAGCAUCAUCCAGAGAACACCUCACCCUCGUCUCCCGUCGCGCGCCUGGCCCCUUCACACAUGGCCAUCAACUUGGUUGUGCUCGCUCUAAUCAUCUAAGCUCCGAGUCGCAAUCUUGCCACUUCUUCCACCGGCUGAAGACCUGCCCAAUACAAGAGAAACGAACAAGCCGAAUACACAAUCUCAAAUGGAGAUUUGAUCAAUUGUUUUUCAAAAGUAGCCUUAUUACGCGCAAGCCAAAUAGCCCAAGUUAGUGCCGCCAAACCAACAGUAUAAAAUCUAGAUUCAUUGGGUAGGAACAUAUUACACCACACAUAGAAUUGCCAGUUGUUAUUCGGGCAUAAUUCAGUCCCCAACACAACUCCAACUGUCCAGACAACACGCGCCACAGGACACGUAAAGAACAGGUGGGACGCAGUUUCAAUAUUGUUACAGAAGGUACACACAGGGUUCCCCGGCCAUUUUUUCCUCCUCAUCACCGCUCUAGUGAGCACCGCAUCUUGAGCCAUCUGGCACAAGAAAAUAUGUAUCUUAAGAGGUAGUUUCGCCUCCCAGAUCCAUCUAUACUUGCUUCCGUGAAGAGGUUUUUCCAGCCAAUUAUACAUAGAUUUAGUGGAGUACUUAGCAUUCUUACUCAAAACCCAAAACACUACAUCUUCCUCAGCUGUAGUCUUAAGCCCCAAGAUGUACUGUCGUACCCUAUCCCACUGUUCUCUAAGAUUAGGGCAUAGACGCCUUCUAAAAAAGGUCGAAGUCUCUACCUUGUUAAAGUUUUGGACCGUACAAUCCUGAUCUGUACAGAUUUCAAACAGCCGAGGGAACCUCGAAUUGAGUGGGGGCAGCUCCUCAAUUGAGUCUUUCCACACCCUGCUCAGGUUGCCGCAUCCUAGUUUAAUCUUUCUCCCCAUCAUGUACAACUCCCUGACUUUCAGAAGAGAUUUCCAGCAUGGGGAGUCAGAUUGUCUAGGUUGCACAGUUGCCACCGACUUGUUUUGUAUAUAUCUGGCUCUCACCAAGUUUUGCCAAACUGCAGUUUGGGUUUCUAAUUUCCACCACCAUUUUACCAUCAGGCUGAUGUUUUGUUUCCUGAGAUCUUCGAUGCCCAGAACCCCUUUGCCGUUCAAUCUACACACCUUCUUCCAUUUGACCAGGUAAUAUCUAUUCUUCUUAUUGCACCCAUGCCAGAAAAAUUUACGACGGUGCUUAUCCAGCCUUUCUAUGAAAGUUUUACUCAUAAGCCACAUGGACAUAUGAUAUAAAGAUAGCUGCGACAGUACCGAGGUAAGCAAAGUAAGUCUGUCCCCCGCUGGAUGCAGCAUUACCAAUCCAGGACCAGAAACACUUAAGGUAUUUAUCUACAAUAAAUUCCCACACUGAAUCUUUAAGGGUUGUGAAACUCACAGGCAUACCAAGAUAUUUAAUUGGAAAGUGCCCAAUCUCGCAGUUAAAGAUCUCGGCAUACUUGCUAUCAAUGUCAGUGUCCCCUCCGACAGUCAUGAUCUCGCUCUUCUGGAAGUUUACUUUUCAGUCCAGACAUGAGUUCGAACAUGUAUAAGAGGAGCUUCAGAUUUAAUGCUUUGUCCACAUCAUGCUCGAGGCAAAUGAUCGUGUCAUCUGCGUAUUGCAGAACUACCACCCCAUUCGGGACAAGAUCAGAUGCUAGUCCAGUUAGGAGGCCAUUCUGCUGCGCUUUACAGAUCAUCUUGUUGAGGCAUUCUACAGCUAGUUUGAACAAAAAGGGGGAGUGGGGGUCUCCUUGGCGCACCCCUUUGGCACUGAAAAUAUGGGCCCACUGAGUUGUUAAGCUUGAUACUAACAGUACCAUUGUAUAGGAUUUGAUUCACCCACCCACACCAGGUUUCAUUGAAGCCCCUCAUUAUGUGGCAAUCCAACAGAAACUCCCAGUUAACCUUGUCGUAUGCUUUCUCGAAGUCGAGCUUAAGCACCACCCCUACUUUUUUCUUGACAUGGGUGUAAUUGAGGAGCUCAUGUAAAGUCAUGAUCCCAUCCAUAAUAUUCCUCCCUUUUACAAAAGCAUUUUGUGACAAGCUUAUCAGUUUGUCAGCAUAUUUUUCUACUCUCCGAUCCAUAGUCUUAGUAAUCAGUUUAUAUGGGCACCUAAGGAGACAAAUAGGCCGAAAUUGCUGAAUAAGAUCCGCACCUGACACUUUUGGGAGAAGAGUAAUCACCCCAUAAUUAAGGCGCUGCACGUCAAGCGUUCCAGCAUGGAAGUGGCUGAACAGCCGCAUAAUGUCACUUUUGACAAUGUUCCAGCAAUGUUGAUAAAACUCCGCAGGAAUAUUAUCAGGGCCAGGUGCUCUAUUGACAUCCAUUGCAAACAAGGCCUCUUUCACCUCCUCUUCUGAGAAGAUUCUAGUCAGAUCAAUAUUAUCCUUGUGAGUAAGUUUUUCUGAUUCAUCCCACGAGCCAGGGUCCAUGUGAAACAAGUUGCCCGGGGAGUGGGGGUCUCCUCAGCUGAUCAGCUCUACUUGCGUGCGCAUGUUAUUCAGCACUUUUGAUAUAUGCAAGACUGGGAAAGCAUUCCAUUCCAGUUUCUUGCUCCAAGCAAGACGUAGGAAUGAACCCAAUUUACUAGGAAUGGAACUAUGACAUUUCACUCAUUUUGGUUCCUCAACUAAACACACCCUAAAACUGUUUGAGAACACACAUAAUUCUAGUGAAUGCAAUCACCAACAAAAACUCGUACUGGCUUAAUUCUAAGAAAUCGGAAUAUAUAUAGAACUGCUUAAUUCACCAUCAUCCAACACACAGCAAUAUACUUCUAGUUCUAGACAGUUAAGAUAAAUUACAAACACUGUACAUGAAAGAUCAGCCAGCGAGAUGCCAAUUAAUUAAACACUGGUUGUUAGCUUGUAGUGCAACGAAAAAUUGGAAUACUCUUGGUUGUGAUAGUACGUACAAUAUACUUUAUGUUUGUUAUAAAUUGAUCGGAGAGUAUGAAAUUGUAAUUAUGGAUCCAAUCACAGUAAUAAACCGGCGUUCUGACAGGGUUCGACAUAAGAAAGCUGAGUGGACUACAGCACUAAAUGCUUGCACAAAUAGAAAGUUAAUAUCUACUUUUCGCUACAGGUGGACCAUGGGAGUAAUAGAAUUUUCUCCUUAUUUGAGUCAAGUUCUCUCCAUGCUAAGUUGAGUCAGGUGUUUGAAUUUUUCCAAAAAUAUACUAUACCUGGAAUAUAUUUAUAUAUAAGUAUUUAGACUGAAGUUCGACCUUUUUCAUCUCAACAUAGCUGGAUCCGUAUAUGGCUUAAGUUACAGUGGGAUGAUCAAUUUCCUUUUUCUAUCUUCUGUCCUCAUUCACGUAAAAAAAAAAGACAGUCAUGGGUAACUUUUGACGGGAAAAAAGAUGAUGCUUAUUUAGUUUAUGAAAAACAGUUUCGACGAUGACUUUCCCAACAAUGACGGUUGGUAAAGCCUUUAACUAUAAUAUGUUGUUUUUGUGUUUAAUUGACAGAAUCGCAGGAUCAAUUCAGCAAAGAAAUAAUGUAAUGUGACCUAAAUAAGCAAACAUAACUUGCCACUGGUAGAAAAAAGGCCUUUAGUCCCGGUUCGCAAAGGCCUUUAGUCCCGGCUGUGCAACCGGGACUAAAUAUGCGCGACUAAAGACCCCCCUUUAGUCGCGCCUCUUACGAACCGCGACUAAAGGCUUUAUUCCCGGUUCUCGUGGCAAACCGGGACUAAAGGCCCGUCCUUUAGUCCCGGUUCUCGUGGCUAACCGGGACUAAAGGCCUCCUCCGCAGAUUUAAACCUGGUUUUUUUGCGAAUUUUUUUAUUUUAUUUUAUUUUCAAAUUUCUGAAUUAUUUUAACCUCUAACCUCUAAUCUCUAAUCACCACCCCUCAUCACUGCUAGCACGCUUAACUUCCGGGUUUUAUUCUCCCUCGUUUCCAAGUCUGCACUUGUUGUUUUCCUGACAAUAGUAGGAUGUCAAUUCUAUUAACCCUCAGGAAUUUAGCUUGAGCACGAAGUGACACAUUUCACUGUUUGAGUUUGAAACUAUUGUUUUAAAAAACAAUAAUUAUUUAGUAACACUAAUACUUCUGGAAUAAUUAGUUUGACCAUUGUUUGACCACUGUUUGACCACAGUUUGACCAGAUUUGACGAAAAUUUAAAAAAACUGAAAUAAUUAUUUAGUAACACUAAUAUUCUAGAAUAAUUAGUUUGACCAUUGUUUGACCACAGUUUGACCACAAUUUGAAUUUUUUUGCCUCUCCAGAUCUUAAAAGCCCCGUAUCUUUUUUUCUGUUAGGUUUUUUCUGUUAAAUUCGGAUGUAACUUCUCGAGUAGAUGAUUUUUCAUAUAAAAAACUUUUUCAUCCGAGUUCGUAUGCAAAAGUUAUGCCCAUUUUAAGAAUUUCCAGAGAGAUUUUGCAAAUAAAGUCGAAAUUCAUAUUUGUUAAUUUUCCCAACAACUAGACCACAUAUCACAUGAGAAACUUAUUUUAUUUUAUUUUUUUGACAUUUCCACCAUUUUCUUUUGUUUUUUCUAAAACUGNNNNNNNNNNNNNNNNNNNNNNNNNNNNNNNNNNNNNNNNNNNNNNNNNNNNNNNNNNNNNNNNNNNNNNNNNNNNNNNNNNNNNNNNNNNNNNNNNNNNNNNNNNNNNNNNNNNNNNNNNNNNNNNNNNNNNNNNNNNNNNNNNNNNNNNNNNNNNNNNNNNNNNNNNNNNNNNNNNNNNNNNNNNNNNNNNNNNNNNNNNNNNNNNNNNNNNNNNNNNNNNNNNNNNNNNNNNNNNNNNNNNNNNNNNNNNNNNNNNNNNNNNNNNNNNNNNNNNNNNNNNNNNNNNNNNNNNNNNNNNNNNNNNNNNNNNNNNNNNNNNNNNNNNNNNNNNNNNNNNNNNNNNNNNNNNNNNNNNNNNNNNNNNNNNNNNNNNNNNNNNNNNNNNNNNNNNNNNNNNNNNNNNNNNNNNNNNNNNNNNNNNNNNNNNNNNNNNNNNNNNNNNNNNNNNNNCGACUAAAGGUUCGGGCCAUUAGUCGUGGUUGGCCAGACCAACCGGGACUAAAGGUCUAACCUUUAGUCCCGGUUGGUCUGGCCAACCGCGACUAAAGGCCUUCGGGCCAGCCUGAGGACCUUUAGUCCCGGUUGGCCAGGCCAACCGGGACUAAAGCCCCUCCCGUCCGCCAGCUGUCGACCGAGCGCGCUGGGCCCAGAUAGUUGGUCGCGGGUCUCCUCCCGAACCGCGACUAAAGACCCCUUUGGUCGCGGUUCGAUUAUUUUGGGGACUAAUGGGGGCGUAUGGAAGCCUCUUUUUCUACUAGUGUGCGGCAAUACACAAUUUAUUUUCAUUUCCUGGUCGAGAGAUGUAUUCACUGCCUGCAUUGCGACUAUAAAUUGCACGGAUUUUUCUUAUUGUUUCAGGCAUUUCGGAUUGAAUAUUAAGAACUCUAAUUGGACACUGUUUGAAUAUUAUAAAGAUUAAUGCCAUUGUAAGUCUAUGUUAUCAAUUACUUUUGUAGUUUUAGUAAAUUUUAGUGAUAGCCUUCAGCUUGGAGUACGUGCACUAAUUGCUUAUGGUAUAAAAAAUAAUAAGAAAGUUAUGUUGUGUCAUAUCGAAAGUGGAUAGUUGAUUGUCAGCUGCUUGCCAAUAUCGUACAACCACAUAAUUUCAGUCUUUUUUCCAUAAAAAACUGUACUCCCUCCCUCCAACGAAUAAUAAGUGUCGCAUCUUUGAACUAAGGUUGAACUAACCUUAAUUCAAAGCCGCUGUUAGAAGGGAGAGGGAGAUUGGUGGAAUAGUUCAUUGUAUUGCUUGAACCUCGUGGGCAUAUAUAUAGAAGUACAAUCAUCUACUUGGAGUACAAGACAAACCAGAACAAAUCCUAGACUAUCUCGUCUUUCCUAAUAAACAUUAUACUCAACAUCCCCCCGUAGCAGCGCAGACGGUGAGACUGGAGAAGAAUCCGGAGGCAAGCCGACGGACACUCCCCCACAGUCGUAAUGGUCGACGCAUCGCGGAAGUCGUGGUCGGAGUGUAAACCGACGAGGUUGCUCAAGCAAGGCGGUAGCCCUUUGUGACGUUUGUCGAGGUAGCCAAGAGCGUAUGUGGUGUAGCCGUGGUCCAGGUAAUCGUGCGAAGAAUGCCAUGGUCGAUGUCGAGUCGGGGUAGCUGGUAUCGAGGAAGUCGCCGUGGAGCCACAGGCGCAAGGAGGCGCCGAGUUAGUCAUGGGCGCAGUGGUGUCGAAGUAGUGGUGCGCCAAAAAGGAGACAAUGUCGAUGAGGCGUCGCGCCGGGUUUGCCAAACCUGAGGACACGUCGUAGACGAAGGCACACAUCGGUGUUGGCAGCACCGGGCAUGCGUAGACGGACGAAGACGAAGUUGACGAAACGUCGCUCCAGGCUCGCCAGACCCGGGGACACGUCGUUGGCGAAGGAACGCAUCGGUGUUGCCAACACCGGGCAUGCGUAGACAGGGACCUGCAUGAGCUGUACGCCAUGUCGGAGAAGUCGAAGAGGCUAGGAGAGAAGGACUCAACGACGGUUGAGGUGCCAAUCGGCGCGGGGCCAAUGUCGCCCGCGGUUGUCUGAGUAGACGAAGCAGUUGGGAUAGAUGACGGCGAUGAUGGCGACGCGCUGGUGCUGGACGAAGAAGGGGGGAGGCGCGGCGGCUACGGAGGUAGCUGCGGCGGCCGAAGAGGAGCGGCGGCGACGGCCUUACGGCAGCCGCCGCGGCUAGGUUAGGAGCGCGGCAGUGGUGCUGGAAGUAUGCGAGGAACCCGACAACAUGACGAAGACUGGCGCGGACAAUGGCGUUCCCGCACCGAGGGAGGCGGCGCAGCGCAUACCACGAGAAGUCGACGCGCGGAGACGACGUAGUGGACCGCGGGCUGCGACGCGACGGCCCGAAGGGGCGAUGCAGUGGCGGCGGGCAUGCCAGGGCGACGGUGGGAAGACCUCGGGGCGGCGGCGCUACAGCCCGAAGGGGCGGCGCAGCGGUGGAGCGCGAGUCGGUGCAACCGCGGGGACGACCUCGGGAUGGCGGCGUGGACCGCAUGCCACGUUCGCUACGGCCUGACGGGGCGACGCAGCGGUGGCGCGAGGGUUGGUGCAACCGCGGAGAUGACCUGAAGCGGACGACCUCGGGGCGGCGGCGGACCGCGGGCCACGGGACUACGGUCCGAAGGGACGACGCAGCGGUGACGCGGGUCGAUGCGGGCGGAAGAAGAACCAUGGGGUGGCGGCGCUGCAGCCCGAUGAGGCGACGUAGCGGUAGCUCGUUGCUGGAUCGGUGGAGGAGCGCUUAUACUCAGUGACGAUCUUCACAAAAUACCACCAAGACGUCCACCUAUUGUUGAUCAGACCGAAGAUACUGUUGGCCCAGUCCCGACGCCAAGUACUUCCGGCGACCGCGAUACACCGACAACGAACGACGAUGAUGAACGAAGCUCGCUGAUGAACUCGACGAUUUACAUUACGCGGAGACGCACCGUAGUACAAAGCUGGCCUCCUGAUCGUGAUCGAUCCACCACACCAAGAUGGCUCCUGGAACACACGCACGUACAACAACUGAGAUCGUUGCGUUGCUUUGAUCGAUUCUGGCUGUUUUCUAAUAUACAUGUACGCGAGGAAGCCGGCGUAUUGCCACAGGCUCGUAUCGAGCCUGUUUGCUUUCACAAAUCACAGUUACAAAGUACAGGGGCAGGUUACCUAUAUAUAUUAGUAAUAGCUAGCCUAGACAGACCUGUUCGGUGAUGAUCAAGAAUCCUACACGGACACCUAUACGUAAACGUGCACACAGCCGGACACGGAUACAUAUUGUCGUGUUUAACUCUAACAAUCACCCCCCUAAACACGACGUCGUCAUGUCACUCGGACGCCGAUACUACAAGGAGCCGCGCAAGCAACCUCGCCUCCGAAGGCAAUGGAGGAAAAGGCAUCAUCACCUACACCUGUACUGCUACAACCGGUGUUACACCCAUAUCCGGAGAGGACUUUUUGGACGAUUGACCAGGUAAAAGUGAAAGGGAGUGGGCGACGGUGUCUAGCAAGCGGCGAGGAACCGGCGGAUUUUGAGGAUGCGAACACAAAGGAGUGUUGGCGUCAGGCUAUCGAAGUGGAGUUGAGGUCGAUCCACGACAACAAUGCAUGGGAGCUUGUAGAUCUUCCCAACAAUGAAAGAGCCAUGGAUCUCAAGUGGGAAUUUUUGAUCAAGAAAGAUGCCGAUGGGUCCGUGAAGCACAAAGCGAAGCUAGUAGCCAAAGAGUACGUGCAAGAAGAAAGUGUGCACUUCGAAGAUGUGUUCAUUCCCGUUGCAAGGAUGGAUUCUAUGAUAUUGCUCAUCGCUCUCGCGGUUCAAGAAUCAUGGAGCAUACAUCGCAUGGAUGUAAAAUCCGCGUUUUUUAACGGAGAGUUAGAAGGAGAGGUUUAUGUGAACCAGCCACCGGGGUUCAUCAAAGAAGGACAAGAGCACAAGGUACUGAAGCUACACAAAGUCUUGUACGGGCUACACCAAGGCUCCUGGGCAUGGAGCAUCAAACUUGAUCGGAUUUUGAUUUCUCUUGGAUUUGAGAAAGCCCCACUAGAGCAUACAAUGUACAAGAGAGGUGAAGGAAGGGAUCGUCUACUAGUUGGCAUCUACGUCGACGACCUAUUGAUAACUGGAGCAGAUGAAGAGGUGAUUGCAAAGUUCAAGCUACAAAUGAAGGAGCUUUUCAAGAUGGAUGAUCUUGGUAUUUUGCGUUGGAACCUCGGGAUUAGGGUACAUAAAAAACCGGAGGGGAUCAAACUAUGCCAGGAGGCAUAUGCAAGGAAGGUACUUGAAAGCCGUGGCGUGAAAGAUUGCAAUCAUAUUGUCGCUUCAAUGGAACCUCGUCUUGAGCUAAGCAAGAAGGAGAUGGUGAAUCUACUCGACUACAGUGGUAGUGACAAGGAAGGGAUUGUUGACGACCAUAAGAGUACCUCAGUCGUGGCAUAUUUUUCUUGGUGGAAGCAUAGUAAGCUGGCUAUCACGAAAGCAUAAAGUGGUGACAUCGACUUCAAGUGAAGCAGAGUGUCAAGGUGUGUGGCUAAGGAGGCUACACGGUGAUCUCAUGAAUCGAGAUUGGGAACAAGUGGUGCUCAACGUUGAUAGUGAGUCUAUAGCUUUUCUAGCAGAGAAUCCAGUGCAGCAUAGCAGGAGCAGGCACAUUGAUACGAUGUAUCAUUACACAAAGGAUUGUGUGGAAGAAGGUAAGACGAAGGUCAACUACGUUCGCACCGAUGAUCAGCUGGCGGACAUCCUGACCAAUGCUUUGGAUCGAGAGAAGCUCUUAGAGAUGCAGAGAAGGAUCGACGUCUAUGCAGUGACGUGACGACGUCGUGUUUAGGGGGGUGAUUGUUGGAAUUAAACACGACAACUUGUGUCCGUGUCCGAUGUAGUUCAUGUAUACAAGUACGUGUCCUUGUAGGUUUCUACCUGAUCACCGAAUAUGAUUAGACUAGUUGUAGCUAGUAUAUAUAAUCCUGUACCCCUGGCUUGUAAGAACCGUGAGUUGAGGAGAUCAAUAAAGAAAAGGCCAGGAGCGACAAGCCCCUGUUGGCAAUCAAUAUUGGUUUCGCGUGCGUGCGUGUGUAUUGGCUAGAAUCGAUCAAGUGAAGGAAUCGUUCUGGUUGCUAGCUUAGCUUCGGCUAAUCGCAGGUAGUACACAGCUGGAAGUAAUCAGCUCGUGUGCUAUCCCGGUACGCGCACGUCUUGCAAACUUGGGGCUGAAGCCAAGAUAGUCAGCGAGCUUUGGUCGUCAUCGUUGUUGGUCGUCGGUCGUCGCCGUCGUCGGAAAGUACUCGACGUCGGGUCUGGGCCAACAGAUACGACAGAUGAGAACGAGAAGAUGCAGACUGGCGACGAGGUGCCGACGACAUGCUUGGCAGCCGGAGAGGGCAGAAGGGGCACGCGGCUACAGGGCACCAGCGGCACGCGUCCACGCAGCCGGAGUAUCCAUGAGCGCGCAACCGACGAUGUGUGGUGCAUGAAAACUAAUCGUAUAUGCACGAAAGCCACGAAGGCUGAUCGUACAUGUAAACAAGCAGCCCACGCGGAAUACAUCAUCCGGAAAGAGCAGCCGUAUGUGGAACUUGAGCAGCCAACAACGCAGCACAGACGCACGAGAAAUCGAUCUCGCCUACGUUGGGCACGUUAGCGCUUGAGUGAUCCUGGGCGUAUGGUACCGGAGACGGCGAACAGCAGAACCGGAGACGGCGACCAGCAGAACCGUGCCCAAAUACCGGAGAAGACUAGAAAGUCGAUGUAAGUUGGUUUUUUAACUUUGCCCAAAGAAGUUGGGUUUUCAAUUCCUUGUAGCUGUACAAGAUAGGAGGUGUGUGUGAAAUGAGAGGCCGGAGAAGGAAAAUGACAUAUUUUAAUGACCUGGACAGCAGAGGUUGGCCGUUGGCCCCAUUUAUUAUGCCAGUGAUAUUAUACACAUCUACUACAUCGUGGGUGUGUCUAGAGACGAUUUGGUCCAUGCUUGCACAAUGAUUGCCGACGAUUUGAGGAGCUCGAUGUGCCGACCAAAACAACGUGGGUGUGUCUAGAGACGGAGGGAAAACUUCCGGAGCUGAUAGCAUUGUAAAUUUAGUUACCACUCCCUCUGUUCACGGAUAAGUAUACAUAAAUUUUUUUAAGACAUAUUAUUGAUCUUGAUUACCGUAUGACGAGAUAGAAACGUUUUUUUUUCUUUUUUAAAGUCCAUUGAGAAGUUUUUUUAAGGGGCGCUUUAUUAUUUAAGAGGUUUAAGCAUUACACCCGGCCUCUGCAUAACUAAGAUACACAUAGCCAACAAAGUCCUCACGACAAGCCAAAAUAAAAAACAAAGGCGGAAUACAAAGAUGAAUAUCUGUAUGACACCUAAAAGGUAAGAGGGCCAAUCCUAAGAUCAUGCUGCCACCCAUGUUGGGUAAAAAUAUCCCUUGCUGCAGCCUCCAAUCAUGUACACACCUCCGUAAAUAGGUCUUGAUUCUCCACUUGCUGCAGAGGGGACCAUAAACGAAACGUCCCGAUACAUCUGUAGAUAACCUGCAUAAGGGAAGUACUUUUAUCAUUAAAAACCUUAUCAUUUCUACAUAGCCAAAGCGACCAAAUCACAGCAAGCACUCCCACCCUGAGAAGAAUUCUAAACUUGUGAUCAAUCCCAUGUAACCAGUUGCCAAAUAUAUUAGUAACACUACACUGAGGAUACAAGCCAGAAGCUAUCUGGAUGACUGACCAUAUAGAACGAGCCAAUUUAUAAUGGAAGAACAAAUGUUUUAUUCAUGCGGACAAAAUACACAUUGCGUACUUCCGUGCCAUUCCUCUUAAUAAGGUUAUCUUUAGUAAGAAUAACUCCGCGACGAUGAUACCACGCAAAGAUUUUAUUAUUAAGGGGUAUCUUCAUCUUUCAGAUCUUCUUAUUAUUAUCAACUAGCACAUCUGACUGGAUCAGAGCUCUAUAUAUAGACUCCACUGAGAACUGCCAAUUCCCAUGUAGGUUCCAACGAAAGAUAUCGGACCCUUGUGACAACUGUACCGUGGUUAACCAUUGGAGCAGUAUGUUCCACGAUUGGAGUCUAGGUCCAAUUAAAUCCUUUCUGAACGUCACAUUUGGCGGAAAUGAUUCUAAAACCUUGGCAAUAGUAUCAUCCUUGUGACGCAUAAUAUUGUACAGAGCUGGAUAUUGUUCCCGGAGAUUAGCAUUACCUAGCCACUUAUCCUCUCAGAAUCUAAUUUCCGAGCCAUCCUUAACUAAGAAGGAACCAUAGCGGAAGAAAUAUUUCUUCGUUGCCAUUAGUCCGGCCCAAAAAUGAGAGUCCCCAGGCUUCUAGUAUACAUGGGAUACCGCCUUAGAACCCACAUAGUUUCUCCUUAGGAGGGUUUUCCAUACAUCAUGUUCCGUCAACAAGUUAAACAACCAUUUGCCGAGGAGGGCCAUGUUCUUAACCUCAAGGUCAUGAAUUCCCAACCCGCCUUGGUCCUUGGGACGGCAAACCACACUCCAUUUAGCCAGCCGAUAUUUUUCUCUCUCGCUAUCUCCUUGCCAAAAGAAUCUCGAUCGGAAGUAAUCCAAUCUAUGUAAUGCUCCUUUCGGCAAUUGAAAGAAGGAAAUCAUAUAUAGUACCAUGUUAUUUAGUACUGAAUUUAUGAGGACCAACCUUCUAUCCAGAGAUAGCAAUUUACCUUUCGAACUACUUAGUCUUUUUUGUAGUCUCUCCUCGACGUGUUUCCAUUCAGUAUUUGUGAGUCUCUGAUAAUAUAUCGGUAUCCCCAAAUAAGUGAUCGGAAAUUGGCCCAAUCCGCAUCCAUUGAAAAGAUAGAAGUACUCCAACCUCAUUCCUAGUAGCGCCACUUAUCGAUCAGAAAACCAUAGAUAGCAGCGCAAAAAAAAAAAUAGAUAGCAGCGGUACAACGCACCCAUAUUCCGCUAUAGGAUCCUGAUGCGCCAAAGCCACUUGCAUAAUAAAGAUAAUAUUUUGUAAAACAGAAGCGGAAUACGGGUGCACCGUGCCGUACAUAGUCAUGGUAAAUUUACCCCAAAGACAUGUCUUCAUAUAAACUAAAUUAAUCAUUAAAAUGCAGCUCUGAAUAUUGCAUCAAUGAAGGUGAUUGAUCGAUGGCCCUGCACGACCACAUGCAGCGUCAGAUUGGUAUAGUUCACCGGUCGAGCUAACCAAAUUAAUGCACUCAACCACUCCACAGUCGGUCAUUAUGAGAGUACAUGUUGUUAUUAAUCCGCGCUGCACAUGCUAAUCAACCACACUCCACCGGUAGGUAUGCAUGCUUUGUCGAUCCAUGGGCCCAACCCAACAUCCAACCGUCUCCCAAAUGCUUUAAUAUACCCAGCAAACCAAUCCAACAUCCAGCGACCAAAAUUUAUGCAUUGGCUCACACCAAUCGGAUUUAUCCCUGUGGACGCAAUACUUGCCACAAUCACAGUAUACAGUUACUACUACAAAUGGUAUCGCAUGUUGGUUAGCAACCCUAUUUAAGCCCAUGCACCCCCUACGAAACACCUCACCGGUACAAUCACUUAGCAAAUCUAGCCUCUCACCAUCUCCAGCUGAGUUCAACACGAUUACUACUGCAAACUCGAUAGGGAUGGCUCGCGGUGCAGCUAUUCCGCUCGUGCUGGUCGCCAUGGUGGCCACUAUGCUCCUCGUAGCCACCGACGCGGCCAUCUCCUGCGGUCAGGUGACCUCCGCCUUGAGCCCCUGCAUCUCCUAUGCCCGCGGCAAUGGCGCCAACCCGACUGCUGCCUGCUGCAGCGGUGUCAGGAGUCUGGCCGGGGCAGCCCGGAGCACCGCUGACAAGCAAGCGGCGUGCAAGUGCAUCAAGAGCGCUGCCGGUGGGCUCAACGCUGGCAAGGCCGCCGGCAUCCCCUCCAAGUGCGGCGUCAGCGUCCCAUAUGCAAUCAGCGCUAACGUCGACUGCUCUAAGAUUCGCUGAUCAACCACUGCCCACCAUGGCUGCCGUCCAUAGCGCCAUCCAUCACCGCUGAGUAUGCUGAGGUCUCUAAUACAUAUGAAUAAAUGCUCUGAUCUGAUCUCCAUGUGAGGGAGAAAGGAGUGCGUACGCCGAGCUAGCUCUGCAUGGCCGGCAACUAUUGUACUACUACUAUGGUUGUUUUUACUUUCACUACCUUUGAGGAGAACCGAGACUUUAUUGUACGUUGUACCGCGUACACUUCCAGUAUAUAUAUGGAUUAUGCUUAUAAUCAUUUUCCUACGUAUUUUAUUCCACAUAAAAACCGUGAGAGACGAUGAAAAUAAACCGAAUUCAUAGGACCUCUUAGGGCUUUAAAUUGCAAGAGAUGGGAUAGCAGUAUACUUGAGUCAUGCUGGUACUAGGCAUUGCAACCGGGAAAAAUGUAGAAGUAAUUUAAUAUAUGAUAGACAAAUGAUUUAUGUCGACCAUGUCCCUCACCUUGGUUUUUUGUGACGAAGAGUGAAUUUUAUUGACUCAAAAUAAAGUAUCAAAAAAAUAGAAACACAAUAAGCAUGCACCCGGCCUCUCCACAUAUUAAAUGCACACAACAAAGAUGAAUCCAUGCACACACAAAAAUACGCCGGCCAAUAAGGAAGCCAUAAAGGAUGUUAUGCAUAGGCGAGCAACAAAAAGAAAAACCCGAAGCGUUCAAAUCUACUAUCAACAAACUAGAACAAUGACCGUAUCCUUAUCACCUAUCUCAUGACACCACAAAGACGAUAAGGUUCUUCGACAACAACGCCUUCAGGAAGGGAGCGACGCUCAGGUGCAACUUUCACCGGAUGCAACCAUAUUCUAAGUUUUCGUCCCUAAGAAACAAUCCAAGCAUAUCCAGACAAUGCCCUCAACAAGGUAAUGACCCAAAACAUCAUCAGUGCAAGGGAGACCGUGUGAACAUGUAGCACCACCCUCAAGGCCUAUCAUGUGUUGUUACCAUUGCUUUUUCACGAUCCCAGCAUAGCCCUAGCACGGUGGAAUGAGACCACAACGACGCCCCCAAGAGGGACGUGACGCAUGCAUAUUUCAGUGAUGGCAGAAAGCCUGCUGCCACCCUUCUCGGGGAGUCCCCUGCCAGCAUGGACCAUGCCACGAAAGGGAGGCACCAUGAGCAAUCCCAGCACCGUCUUCAACCACCAGGGUUGUUCAGUGGCGCAAUGAUCAUAACUGCAGACGAGGGCGAUGGGAGGGAUGAAGGUUAUAUCUUUUGUGUGUGAGUGCUCCCAUGCUGGAAAUUCUUGCACCAUCGUUUGAGCAAGGUUAGCUACACUAGAAGGAUAGGGCCCCUUUAUUAUAUUUUUUGAUGAGUCAUUAUCGCUUAGUGAUGGUUACCAAGGAUUAGGCCUAGCGAACCUAUGGUAGCCUAGGACAAUUUCUAGGAAGCCACUCGGUUGGGUCGGCAUCAUGAAAGCCCAUCCAAUUAAUCAUUACCAUGGAAUCCAUCCAACUGGAUCGAUGGUGGGUAAUCAAGACAUGUACUACUGUCUGUGUCAUUAAACCAGACAUAUACCCCUAAAAAAAUUAAACCAAAGAUAUAUUCCAUAAGCUACUAAAAAAUCUGCGUUUAGCGAACAUACUUUACGUUCUAUGUUGUUCGUCAAUGUCUUGAUUCAAAAUUCCAAUAUAUCGUGGCUGAAACGGAAAAGCUGAAGGCCAGUUUUGAGGCUGAAAAAAACGCCCGAGCUGAAGAAAAGACUGCUUUAACGGAGCGGGCUGGAAAAGCAGAGGCGGCUCUUCAAGAGGUGACCACUGAGCUUGCCGGUUUAAAGCAUCGUCUAUCCCAGAUGGUUUCUGCUAUCUUUGGUGAGUCGCCUUGUUAACAUCAAAUUGAAUCUCUUCCUUGAUGGUAUAAAUCGCCUCUAACCAAUCCAUAAUUAUUACUCAGGUCCCAGGACAACAAUCUUAGCCAGGAAAUGCUUGUGAAGCUUAAGGCUGUUUAUACACUUCUUGAACAGCUAUAUACUGGAACUCAACACGCACUGGCCACGAUUUCUCCGACUAACCAAGCACCUACUCUCUUGAGUGAUGUCGUAAAAAAACUCUAUGUUCUUCCUGCUAGGAUUGAAGAGAUGAAGCGGUCAUCUGCAAAAGCCGGUGCCGUGACAGCUGUGAGCCGGGCCAAGGCAUGGUUACCAGAACUAGACCCGGUUGAUGUAUCUACUGGAUACCCAAGCUUGAAAGAAGAUGGCACUCCGUUUGAUCAAAAGGACUUCGCUGCUUGUGUGAAAUAAAUACGUCCAAUGGCGACUCUGAUUGCAAAUGACAUGGACCUUUCAAAAUACCACCCAGCUUACAACAGGGAGAAUCAGAAGAUGCCCACGCCGGCUUAUAAAGUGAUGGAUCUAAUCCCGCCAAUCCGUAAGCAUACUUUCGCCCCUGAAGUUGAACCUUCCGAACUUAUAGAUGAUGAAGCUGAAUUUCAAGCCUUGUGUGGCAUCGACUGGUCAUCACCAAAUUUCCAGACGGCGGAGGAGGACGAAGAACCGGAGAAGGAUGAUCCAGAAGCCUCGAGUCAUCAAGGCCAAGAAGAGUGAACCGCCGGGAGGUUUACAUAUUUGAUCCUUUGAAAACACUUGAUCUUUAUUGGCUCACUGGGUCAUUUAAUAGGCUAGUGAAACUUUGAUCUGUCAUGCCAUCGUACAUGUUUUUGUUUUGCGCAACACUGUUUGACCCGCCAUUUGAAGAGCUGUCAUUUUAUGCUUAUGAUGACGGCAACUUAUGCAGAUGAGAUUAGUCAUUGCCUUGCACACAAGUAAAUCACAAAUGCCCUCGCGGUUUAUCGCAGGAUGGGUCAUAAUACCCCAUAUAAAACCACUCGUGACUAAAACAGUGCAUAACCAGAGUUGGUUCAAAUAUAAUCAAAAAUAUCAUACCUGUUGAUAUGUGAUUAAACUGCCGGCUUACCAUACCAAAGCAGUUAGGGUGACAACCCAAAACUUAGAAGAAAAUACUUCCGAGUACUUAAUAUCAUCAUAUGUUGCCGGUUCAUCAUAUACCUAUGUUUGAGCUGUGCUGUGCAACAGGCUCUCUUUGGUCUUUGUAACCCGGUCAUUAAGCCUCCAAGUAAGUCAGAGCUAUACUCAUAUGUAGUUAUAAUACUGGCUUGAUAGCCAAAAUCCCAAGGUAAUCAGAGAUGUGCUCUUAUGAAAGUAUCAUAUUGGCUUGAUAGCCGAAUUACCAGGGUAAUCAGAGUUGUGCUCUUAUGAAAUUGUCAUAUUGGCUUGAUAGCCGAAUGACCAAGGUAUUCAGAGCCGUGCUCUUAUGAAAUUAUCAUAUUGGCUUGAUAGCUGAAUUACCAGGGUAAUGAGAGUUGUGCUCUUAUGAAUUUAUCAUAUUGGCUUGAUAGCCGGAUCAAGAGGGUAGUAACGCUAUGUUCUCUUUGGUGAAUACACCUAUGUUUGAACAGGAAGCCCCCAAGUGAUUUG